rnacentral:rRNA from 1 species
UACAGAGGUCUCAAGCGUUGUUCGGAUUCAUUGGGCGUAAAGGGUGCGUAGGUGGCGCCGUAAGUGGGGUGUGAAAUUUCGGAGCUUAACUCCGAAACUGCAUUCGAUACUGCCGUGCUUGAGGACUGGAGAGGAGACUGGAAUUUACGGUGUAGCGGUGAAAUGCGUAGAUAUCGGGAGGAACACCAGUGGCGAAGGCGACUACCUGGCCUGUUCUUGACGCUGAGGCGCGAAGCUAGGGAGCAAACGGG